GUGCAGAGUCAUUUGGAGCGAACUGCCGC
rnacentral:sRNA from 1 species